CACGUUCCCACUAGCGGUCUCUGGUCUUCGAAAUCCGUGCCCGUGCCAGAAACCGACCGCGUCACGCCCGUUUGCAGGUAUUGAAGGCACCAAUGAGUAUCGCGGGUCACCAGACACCAAGAUAGGUGGAUAAGCGGUUUUUGCCUUGUCUUCAGGACUGCUCAUGACAGUUGGUCUGGAAGGGCAAUGCUUCAGUCACGCACCAGACAUCAUCGCCAUGGAACAGCGGAUUGACACGCAGCCGUCUUUCCACCGUAAACCAUCUCUCAUACGGGCAACCCUCAUGUGCAAACAAACGAAUGACGCCUCUUUUUCAGUUCCGCUGCCGUUGGAUAACACAUUUUUAUGUUGCAAACAUGUGCUGUACGUACGUCUUCGCCAGUGUCUUCAAGGGCUAUUUGAUAGUUCAACGGACCCAGCUGCUUGAUAAUGCGGUAGGGACCUCUCCAUUUUUGGGCUAGUUUUGCGCUAAAUUUACGCUGUGCAUUAGACUGUGGAAAAUUACGCAACCAUACUCGAUCCUUGCUUUUGAAUGUUACAUCUCUCCUAUUUUUGUUAUAGUUCCUCAAUUGUCUCAUUUUGGCUCUCUUGUUGUUUUCCUUCGCUUGAGUUUGCAGAUGAUGAAGAUGAUGAACUACAUCAUACGAGGCAGCGUCUGGGGUUAGAUUAGGCCCAGAGAGUAUUUUGUCCAUUGGACUUUGGAGUUUCCUACCCAGCUGGAGUUCGGCUGGGGUUAAUCCAGUGGUCUCUUGAACGGCUGAAUUAAGGGCGAAUCUGAAUUCUGGUAAGAACUGGUCCCACUUUUGAUGGUUGUCGUCCACAUAGGCUGCCAUCAUGCUCUUGAGAUUUCGAUUAACUCUUUCGGUCAUGUUGGUUUGGGGAUGAUAGGCUGUAGUUAAUUUGGGAAUAACACUCCAGUUCUCACAUAACUCUCUGAAAACAGAUGAAACAAACUGAGUGCCUCUGUCUGAGAGAACGAAGUCUGGUACGCCCCAACGUGUCAGGAUGUCUUUUCUGAAGAUGGAGGCAAUAUUCUUCGCUGUGGCACUCCGAAUGGGAAACAACUCCACCCAUCGAGAAUAAUAAUCAACAAAGACCAGCAGGUAUUCAUUUUGAGUUGUGCUACGUGGCAACGGACCCAUGAGGUCGACUCCCAGCAUUUGGUUUGGGCGGCUUGUGGUGAUUUGCUGUAGCUUUCCCGCAGGCUUCCUGUUAUCACUUUUCAGAGUUUGACAUUUAACACAGGUCCUCACAUGCUGUUUCACCGCUGACCACAUGCCUGGCCAAAAUGCUACUUCCUGAAGUCGCUUAUAGGUCUUGUAGAUUCCUCCAUGGCCACAGAUGGGAGUGGAGUGAUAGUACUGGAGAAGGGUGGAUCUGAGACUGCUGGGAAUGUAGAUUCUGUAAUGCAGUUGGUUAUUUGUCAGGACAACAUCUGAUACAGGCAGUGCUGGGUCUUUUCCGCUGGUGUACAAGUUACAUCCUGGGGUAACCGAAGAUCUGGAUAGAGCAUCCGGAGCUACAUUUAGCUUCCCUUUUCGGUACUCAAUAACAAAAUCAAAUUUUUGCAAUCGCAGGACCCAACGAAUGAGGCGGCUGGUGGUUUUCGUGGAGUUCAUGACCCAUUGCAGUGCAGCAUGGUCGGUAACAACUGUAAAAAGCUUGUGCUCCAAGUAAUGUUGCCACUUUUCCAGGGCCCAGAUGACUGCAAGACAUUCCUUCUCCGUUGCAGUAUAAUUUAGUUCGGCCCCAGUUAAGGUUCGGCUUGCAUAGGCUAUAACCUCCUCUCUGCCUACCUCCCUCCGUUGUGCUAAUAUGGCACCCAGGCCGAUGUCGCUGGCAUCGGUGUAAACAAUGAAUGGCCGCUGAAGAUCGGGAUGGCCCAGAAUGGGAGUGUGUUGAGGGGUUCAGUAAUCUUGGAAAAAUUUGGAACGAAACGGUGAUACCACCCGGCUAACCCGAGGAACCGUUGAACUUCCUUCACGUUCGUAGGCACAGGAUAGGUAUGAAUGGCUUCAGUUUUACAUGGGUCUGCUGAAAUGCCUUUGACACUUACAACAUGUCCUAGGAAGUUCUCCCAGAACUGUCUCCAUAAGCCUCUGAAAAGUUGCGGGAGCAUUUUUGAGACCAAACGGCAUAACAUUAAAUUGAUAGAGACCUGCAGGAGUGAUGAAGGCUGUCUUGGU
ensembl:lncRNA